AUGGGUCGCACGGUCAAGAAGGCCGGCAAGUCCAAGUCGAAGAAGGGCAAGGGAGCGAAGAAGGCUGAUGCUUCAUCGUCUGCUGCCGCUGCGGUGGCUUCUGGUCCGGCAAAGGUGUGGCAACCAGGCGUAGAUGCACUGGAGGAGGGAGAGGAGCUCCAGUUUGAUCCCGAGGCUUACAACUAUCUCCGAGGAUUUAGUAUUGGCUGGCCUUGCUUGAGCUUUGAUGUUGUGCAAGAUCAACUUGGGCUUGUCCGAUCAGAGUUCCCACACACAUUAUAUGGCGUUGCUGGAACUCAGGCUGAAAAGGCUCCAUGGAAUUAUAUUGGCGUAUUCAAGCUUUCCAACAUAAACGGGAAGAAGCGGGAACCUAUACCAUCUUCAAAAGUUGAUGCUGACAGUGAUAUGGAUAGUGACAGCAGCAGUGAUGAAGAAGAAGAGGAGGAAACUAAUGAGGAUAUAAAGCCCAUCCUACAUCUAAAAAAGGUGGCCCAUGCUGGGUGUGUAAACAGGAUACGCUCAAUGACUCAACAACCACACAUAUGUGCUACAUGGGGAGACACAGGUCAUGUUCAGGUUUGGGACUUCAAAUCCUUCCUUAACUCAGUAGCAGAUUCAGGGCCAGUUGCACACAAAGAAGAUGACAUAAUCCAUAGUCAUGUACCUUUGAAAAUAUUCAAUGGCCAUAAAGAUGAAGGAUAUGCAAUUGAUUGGAGUCCACUUGUUACUGGAAGACUUGUUUCUGGUGAUUGCAACAGUUGCAUUCAUCUCUGGGAACCAUCUUCGAGCACUUGGGACGUAGAUACAAAACCAUUUGUUGGACACUCCGCAAGCGUUGAAGAUCUACAGUGGAGUCCCACAGAAGGCGACGUAUUUGCCUCUUGUUCAGUGGAUGGAAAGAUAUGUAUUUGGGAUGUUAGGACAGAGAAGAAACCCUGUAUGUCUAUUAAGGCUCACAAUGCUGAUGUUAACGUUAUCUCCUGGAAUCGGCUAGCUAGCUGUAUGAUAGCUUCAGGAUGUGAUGAUGGCAGUUUCUCAAUUCGUGAUCUUAGAUUUAUAAAGGAUGAUGGCGCAGUGGUAGCGCAUUUCGAGUACCACAAGCACCCGAUUACAUCUGUGGAAUGGAGUCCACAUGAAGCAUCAACUUUGGCUGUAUCAUCUGCUGAUCAUCAACUCACAAUUUGGGAUCUUUCAUUGGAAAAAGAUGCAGAAGAGGAAGCUGAAUUCAGAGCAAAGAUGAAAGAGCAGGCAAAUGCUCCCGAAGAUUUGCCCCCACAACUUCUCUUUGUUCACCAGGGCCAGAAAGAUUUGAAAGAAUUGCACUGGCACCCACAGAUACCUGGAAUGAUCGUGUCGACGGCAGCCGAUGGCUUCAACGUGCUGAUGCCCAGCAACAUAGACACAACCAUAGCUGGGGCCGACAAACCUAGUUUAGCGCCACUUGGCUAA
rnacentral:rRNA from 1 species